AGAGUUUGAUCAUGGCUCAGAGCGAACGCUGGCGGCAGGCCUAACACAUGCAAGUCGAACGCUCGUAGCAAUACGAGAGUGGCAGACGGGUGAGUAACGCGUGGGAACGUGCCCUUCGGUUCGGAAUAACCCGGGGAAACUCGGGCUAAUACCGAAUACGUCCGUAAGGAGAAAGAUUUAUCGCCGAAGGAUCGGCCCGCGUCGGAUUAGCUAGUUGGUGAGGUAACGGCUCACCAAGGCGAUGAUCCGUAGCUGGUCUGAGAGGACGAUCAGCCACACUGGGACUGAGACACGGUCCAGACUCCUACGGGAGGCAGCAGUGGGGAAUUGUUCACAAUGGGCGCAAGCCUGAUGACGCAACGCCGCGUGGAGGAUGAAGACUUUCGGGUCGUAAACUCCUUUCGACCGAGAUGAAUUUCCCGCGACCUAACACGUCGCGGGAGUGACAGUAUCGAGGGAAGAAGCCCCGGCUAACUCUGUGCCAGCAGCCGCGGUAAUAC
rnacentral:rRNA from 1 species